UCUGAAUCUGCGUACGGCUCCGCACACCAGUUGUAAACCAAAGCAAGCAAGCCCGGUCUCGACGCCUUUCGGGGCUAGAGGCCGGGCUACAAGGAUAACCCUGGUAAUUCUGAGGCUAAUACUUGACACAGAACCUGCCGACUGGGCCUCGGUUCGGGAAGCAGGGGAUGUGCGACUAUCGGGCCAACAAAACCGGAAAGAGCGCACGUUCAGACCACUUAAAAAGGCUUCGGGUCCUUCGGGAUCCGGGGCUGUGGCUCUUGCAGCGUGCUUCUGACCUAUCAACUAGACGGCAGCCUAAGGGACAUGCUUUGGU
rnacentral:rRNA from 1 species